GUUGAUCCAUGCUUCCAAUCGAUGACGGGGCUCUGCGAGCCAGGGACCAGCGUCCCAGUCGUAGCCUGUGCUACAACCCCCGCCCAUACUUCUGCAAGUAUGGACUUCCGCCUGAGGUGGCGUUUACUUGUAGGCAUCCAUGGCAGCAUCCCGCUCGCCGUCUGACCCAGAGGUCAGAGCCAUAAAAGAUCUGACAGAAAAACGGCAAAAUAGGCAGUUGGAAUUCAGUUAGUUCCAGCGAAUUUGUCCAGCAACCGCGCCAAGCGAGAAAGGAAAAAUUAGACAGAAAAAUGUAUCAGUUUGGGACCAGAUUUAAGAAGCGGAAUACAACACGGCGCCCCAGCUAUGGAUAGAGCUGGUUUUGCCACUCCUGCAUUGUCAACCGAUGUGCUUGAAGCCCGACUUUGGCCAGCUUUUGCGUCAAUCGGCGUUCUGAGUCGGACCCAUUUACGAACAUUGCAGGCACCGUUGCUUCGGUUGCGUUGGCUUCUUACGAAUUCAAAAGUUUCACCAAUAUUUUCGGGUGUCUCGAACAAUAAAAAGACGAACAUUUCCUGUCACUAUGGUAAUCGCACCUCAUUCGACUCACCGUGCGAGUACCAUUUAUCAAAAUCUCAUCACAACAUAGACUGCGGCACCCUCAAACGCACCCACUACAGACUAACACAAUUCCUCUUUUGGGCAAGCCGACCUUACGCGUAGCAUGUGGUUUAAUAGUUCUU
rnacentral:lncRNA from 1 species